GACGAACGCUGGCGGCGUGCUUAACACAUGCAAGUCGAACGGAAAGGCCUCAGCUUGCUGGGGUACUCGAGUGGCGAACGGGUGAGUAACACGUGGGUGAUCUGCCUUGCACUCUGGGAUAAGCUUGGGAAACUGGGUCUAAUACCGGCUAUGAACUGCCUUUAGUGUGGGGGCUGGAAAGUUUUUUCGGUGCGAGAUGAGUUCGCGGCCUAUCGGCUUGUUGGGGGGGCAAUGGCCUACCAGGGAGUCGCCGGGUAGCCGGCCAGAGGGGGUGUAAGGCCGUCUUGACACUGAGGGAAGGCACAGGUGCCUACGGUUGGACGCUGGGGGGAAUCCUGAACCAUCGGUGGCGGCCUGAUGAAGAGAGGCCUCGGGGUGGAUAACGGCCUUCGGGUUGAAAACUCCUUGCGACAGGGACGAAGCCUUUUGUGACGGUACCUGUAGAAUAAGCACCGGCUAACUACGUG
rnacentral:rRNA from 1 species